rnacentral:rRNA from 1 species
CGGGACACGUGGUAUCCUGUCUGAAUAUGGGGGGACCAUCCUCCAAGGCUAAAUACUCCUGACUGACCGAUAGUGAACCAGUACCGUGAGGGAAAGGCGAAAAGAACCCCGGCGAGGGGAGUGAAAAAGAACCUGAAACCGUGUACGUACAAGCAGUGGGAGCACGCUUAGGCGUGUGACUGCGUACCUUUUGUAUAAUGGGUCAGCGACUUAUAUUCUGUAGCAAGGUUAACCGAAUAGGGGAGCCGAAGGGAAACCGAGUCUUAACUGGGCGUUAAGUUGCAGGGUAUAGACCCGAAACCCGGUGAUCUAGCCAUGGGCAGGUUGAAGGUUGGGUAACACUAACUGGAGGACCGAACCGACUAAUGUUGAAAAAUUAGCGGAUGACUUGUGGCUGGGGGUGAAAGGCCAAUCAAACCGGGAGAUAGCUGGUUCUCCCCGAAAGCUAUUUAGGUAGCGCCUCGUGAAUUCAUCUCCGGGGGUAGAGCACUGUUUCGGCAAGGGGGUCAUCCCGACUUACCAACCCGAUGCAAACUGCGAAUACCGGAGAAUGUUAUCACGGGAGACACACGGCGGGUGCUAACGUCCGUCGUGAAGAGGGAAACAACCCAGACCGCCAGCUAAGGUCCCAAAGUCAUGGUUAAGUGGGAAACGAUGUGGGAAGGCCCAGACAGCCAGGAUGUUGGCUUAGAAGCAGCCAUCAUUUAAAGAAAGCGUAAUAGCUCACUGGUCGAGUCGGCCUGCGCGGAAGAUGUAACGGGGCUAAACCAUGCACCGAAGCUGCGGCAGCGACGCUGAUGCGUUGUUGGGUAGGGGAGCGUUCUGUAAGCCUGUGAAGGUGUGCUGUGAGGCAUGCUGGAGGUAUC